UCGGGAAUAUUGCGCAAUGGAGGAAACUCUGACGCAGUGACGCCGCGUGCAGGAAGAAGGUUUUCGGAUUGUAAACUGCUUUAGACAGGGAAGAAAAAAAUGACAGUACCUGUAGAAUAAGCUCCGGCUAACUACGUGCCAGCAGCCGCGGUAAUACGUAGGGAGCAAGCGUUAUCCGGAUUUAUUGGGUGUAAAGGGUGCGUAGACGGGAAAACAAGUUAGUUGUGAAAUCCCUCGGCUUAACUGAGGAACUGCAACUAAAACUAUUUUUCUUGAGUGCUGGAGAGGAAAGUGGAAUUCCUAGUGUAGCGGUGAAAUGCGUAGAUAUUAGGAGGAACACCAGUGGCGAAGGCGACUUUCUGGACAGUAACUGACGUUGAGGCACGAAAGUGUGGGGAGCAAACAGGAUUAGAUACC
rnacentral:rRNA from 1 species